AAGUCGUAACAAGGUUUCCGUAGGUGAACCUGCGGAAGGAUCAUUAAUGAUUUGGCGAACCGAGCGUUAGCGAGGUUUUGCGAUCAACUUGUAUUUAAAACCCAACUCUUUAUAAUAAUUUAUACAUAAUUUUUAAUGAUAAAAAUUAAAGAUCACUUUCAACAACGGAUCUCUUGGCUCUC
rnacentral:misc_RNA from 1 species